UGCGGAAUCGUCUAAUGGUAGGACACGCGGCUCUGGACCGCGGAGUCUAGGUUCGAAUCCUAGUUCCGCAGCCA
rnacentral:tRNA from 1 species